rnacentral:rRNA from 1 species
AGAGUUUGAUCCUGGCUCAGAGCGAACGCUGGCGGCAGGCUUAACACAUGCAAGUCGAGCGGGCGUAGCAAUACGUCAGCGGCAGACGGGUGAGUAACGCGUGGGAACAUACCUUUUGGUUCGGAACAACACAGGGAAACUUGUGCUAAUACCGGAUAAGCCCUUACGGGGAAAGAUUUAUCGCCGAAAGAUUGGCCCGCGUCUGAUUAGCUAGUUGGUGAGGUAACGGCUCACCAAGGCGACGAUCAGUAGCUGGUCUGAGAGGAUGAUCAGCCACAUUGGGACUGAGACACGGCCCAAACUCCUACGGGAGGCAGCAGUGGGGAAUAUUGGACAAUGGGCGCAAGCCUGAUCCAGCCAUGCCGCGUGAGUGAUGAAGGCCCUAGGGUUGUAAAGCUCUUUUGUGCGGGAAGAUAAUGACGGUACCGCAAGAAUAAGCCCCGGCUAACUUCGUG